UUAAAUAUUUGUUUCUCCUUUUUAGCUUAACAUACACAACAUGUAUAUGCGGUGUAGUCACUUGAACUUAAUUACCUGAUGACAAAGUACCUUUGACUAGUUAUACUCAAAACCUGUGAGAUUUCACUAUGAGAACAAACAAAUUUCUAAAUAUCUCCUACUCUUCUUUUUUAUUUUUCCCUUUUCCUGCCUUCAUUCUAGCUGCAGCAACUUUGCUACAAGAGCCUGUAUCAUGCUAGAUCCUACCUAGUUCCAAUCCAUACCAAUAGGCCUAUGGGUAGGGUAUGCAUCCAAAAUAGACGAAUCAUGAGGAUGUAUUGGAUACCAGCGAUUUUGGUUUCAAUUCUGCCCUUAUCUCUGAUUUUGACUAGCUUUCAUCCCAAGUUCAAUCCUAGUUAAUAAAAACAAAGAGCCAUCAUAAAUUUGAAGUCUGAAUUUUGAUAUAGAAAAUGCGAACUUGAUUUGAUCCAAUUAGGACUGGCAAAUGAGCAAGUUGCUCGGUCGCUAGCUUGAGUUUGGCUCAAAAUUUGGUUCGAGUUCGAUUUUCUUCAUUAAAAUGUUAUGGCGUCUUUU
rnacentral:lncRNA from 1 species